UACAGAGGUCUCAAGCGUUGUUCGGAUUCAUUGGGCGUAAAGGGUGUGUAGGUGGCGCGCUAAGUCGGGUGUGAAAUUUCGGAGCUUGACUGCGAAACUGCAUUCGAUACUGGCGUGCUUGAGGACUGGAGAGGAGACUGGAAUUCAUGGUGUAGCAGUGAAAUGCGUAGAGAUCAUGAGGAAGACCAGUGGCGAAGGCGGGUCUCUGGACAGUUCCUGACACUGAGACACGAAGGCCAGGGGAGCAAACGGG
rnacentral:rRNA from 1 species